CAUCAGAUAAGAUUGGCCAUCAGUUUUUAGCUAUUGCAUCUAGGUGAUGCGUACCUGGAGGGUCAUUAUAUAAUUUUAUUCUCUCUACUCCUGUAUAUGUUUGAAAUUUUACAUGACAAAAAGUUAAAGAAAUUCAAAAUUCAAAAGCAUAACAAUAUCCAUUCAUUCAUAUGGUUUCUGCUUGUAAAAGUACCAAAAUAUUUGUCUUGACUCAUGUGGUUUGAUUUUAGUAAGUUCCACAAUUACGAUGAAGCCAUGACACGCUACAACUAGGGGGGAAAAGCCUUGACAUCAAAUUCUAGAAUUUAUAUUUUAAAAGUUUCAAGUCUUCCUUUAAAAUUUUUCUCUGAGAAGAAAAAAAUAACUGGGCCUUUUGAUGUUAGUGUAUUUGUUUUUAAAUUUAGCAAGAUGACACUUGGGCUUCUUGUAUUUUAGUAACAAAUUUUUAAAAAAUUAUUAAAGUUUACUCAAUAUGGUGUUAAAAAGUUUAGCCAGAGGAUCAAGAAGGUUCAUGAGCCAAGUAUACCCAAACGCUGCCCAUCGUGAGGCAUAAUUUCAUAUAGACAAAAACACGCUCUGGUUCAACAUCUCUCAAGAAACACUGUAUUGUCCCUUAUUAUGUGGAGGUGAUUAGGGAGAAGGUAGGCAUACUCUCUUCUGGAAAGUUCACAGGGCUAAGGGAACAGAUGUGUGUGGCCUGGAGAGUUGUAAAAAUAAAUAUCCUCCUUAAAAUUUGUGGUUCUCAUUGUUGCUCUGCUUUUCACUUGGGCUCUUUUUCAUUUGCAAGUGUCUCCGGCUACUCCCUGCCAGCGAGGCCUACAAGGGUCUGUCUACACGCCUGCAGCGGAAAGGGACGAAGAUAACCAAAGUAUCUAGAGGACUUCCUUCACGGGUUCUGAGAGAAACACGUGCUGCUCUUGGCUGACAGGACUUCCUUCCAUGACCUCGUCUUGAUGGGAUACACUCUAGUCUCACGGGGCAAAAGCCAUUCGGUUCACCAAAGGACGAGGGAUGUAAACAAGGACUAUGGCUGCGAGACAUCUUAGAAUGUGCAGGAAAUUCCCUCACAAGGAAAAACUGUCCUCUGUCCUGAAUGGCUUCCAAAUGUCCAGGUGUGUAUUCAUGUAGGUGAAAAAUCUGAUUUUAGAACCCAAGUUUAGUUUAAAACACAAAGUAUACUCUGCAUUGAAUUUUCCAAGAAUGCAACUGGGGGGAUAUAAUAUCAGGGGAUAUUAUACUUUGCUAUCUUUGGAAUUUUACUAUGAGUUGCUCACUAUUUUGGAAAAUGACAUCAUUGAGGGCAACACCUGUUUGGUAUCUAAGCUGCUGACACAAUGAACCCAUUUGUAGCCACUGUACAUACAUAUGUAACAGAGAUCUGAGGCUCCUUCUAACAGACUAGGAACUGAAUAUUAUUAAGUUGGUAGUGACACACGAAAUGAAGGGUACCUCAGUUUCACUACAGGAUUACAUUAAAACAUUCCUAUUAUUGCCAUCUUAUAAUUUAAAAAAAUUUUUCCAAAGUACAAUAGAAAUUUAAGUUACGGAAGUUGUUAUAUUGAAAUUAUUAUUAUUCUUUUCUUUUUUGGUGAGGAAGAUUGGCCCUGAGCUAACACCUGUUGCCCAUCUUCCUCUUUUUGCUUGAGGAACAUUGAGGCUGAGCUAACAUCUGUGCCAACCUUCCUCUACUUUAUGUAGCAUGCUGCCACAGUGUGGCCUGACGAGUAGCGCUAGGUUCAUGCAUGGGAUUCAAACCUGCGAAUCCUGGGCUGCUGAAGUGGAGCGUGUGAACUUAACCACUAUGCCACCGGGCUGGCCCCUUGAAAUUAUUUUUUACUUCUUUUUUUAACUUACUGUUUUUCUACCUCAUUCUGACAUUAUCCCCAAAGGUUGACUGCAUAACUUUUCCUCAUCACUUCCCUAUAUUACUUGUAAGGAAUGACUUCCAGUUGCCCUCUCUCAAAUUAAGACUUUCAUUACAAGGUAUCUGACUAUUCUGUGAUGUCUGCCAAUGUUUGUACUGAGCACUGAUAAACUGAAAGAGAUAUUUUGAAACUAUAUGUACAUGACAUACUCUAUAAUUUAAUUUCAGGAUAGCAAAAGGAUAUUAAAUGAAGAGGACAGAGAGUCGGGAAGGGCCUAUGCUGACCAUCCACUCUACAUUAGACACCCAGACAUUCUCUCUCAUCAUCCUAUUGUUGCGUUUUUUCACUAUCAGAUUUCACUCUGUACUGGGCCACGAGAAUCCAGCCCACUGCCCAGCACAAAGCUGUUACAUAAAUACACAUGCAAGCGGACUAACAUUAACACUUUAAGAUAAGGCACAUAAGUAGUCAUUAUCCAGCAAGAAGGAGGGAAAGAGGUGCUCAAGGAGGAGACCCUAGAACUGCGCUUUCCAAUCCAGUGGCUGGAAGCCACAGGCGGCUAUUGAGCACCUGGUGGUACACGGCUGGUCCACACUGAGAGGUGCUGGAAGUGUCGAAUGCAUGCCGAUUUCAAAGACUUAGUAUGAUAAAAAGAAUAUAAAAUAUCUCAGUAAUUUUUAUAUGGAUUAUACCUUGAAAUGAUGAUAUUUUGGAUAUACUAGGCUAAAUAAGAUUUAUUAUUAAAAUUAAUUUCACUCAUCUUUUUACCUUUUUAAAUGUGGUUACUAGAAUGUUUUAAAUUACACAGGAGGCUUGCACCUUACUUCUCCUGGACGGUACCGGAAGAAGGCAACCCAGAAGUCAAGUGAAGCAGAUAUGGCCUCAGAGGCACCCAAUGGGCUUGGCUACAUGAGGUACUUGCAAUUACUGUUGUCAUUUUACUGAAGAGGAAACACAAGCCGACUGUGAAGGAAUGGACCCAAAGUCACAAUGCCAGCAUGGGAGUGACUCAAGAUGGAACUCUUGGCCGUAUACUCCAGAGCCUUUCCUCUUGACCCCACUGCAGGCCCCACCUUUAAUCUGCUCUCCUGAGGAAUCUACGUGGAUUCUUGUACCAUGUGCAAAAUCCCAGAAGGGUUAAAGAUAUAAAUGUGAAAAGAUAAACUCUUGCAAGAAAAUAUAAGAGACUACAAACCUAAUCUAAGGGCUAUGACUAAAAAAUCUAUAAGGAAAGAAAAGAUAAUGUCAUAGAACUUUCUGAAGAGGUCGUACCAAUUUAUAUUCUCACCAGCAGUAUACGAAAGUGUCAGCUGUUCCACGUUCUUGCCAAUACUUGCUAUUCUAAGUCUUUUUCAUUUUAGCCAUUCUACUGGAAUGUGUAACAGUGUACACUGUGCAUUUCUCUGAUGACUAUGAGGCUGAACCCCCUUCCACUAUUUACUGACUAUCUGGAUAUCCUCCAUUGGGUCAUCUGCCCUUUUCUUAAUGAUUUGUUGUCAUUCUUUAUCCUGGAUUAAGAGUCCGUUGUCAAAUCUAUUUCUUGCAAAUA